AUUGAACGCUGGCGGCAGGCCUAACACAUGCAAGUCGAGCGGAGCGACGGACGGGUGAGUAAUUCCUAGGAAUGUGCCUGGUAGAGGGGGAUAAAGUACGGAAACGGGCGCUAAUACCGCAUACUAUCAGAUGAGCCUAGGUGGGAUUAGCUAGUUGGUGGGGUAAGGGCCUACCAAGGCGACGAUCCGUAACUGGUCUGAGAGGAUGAUCAGUCACACUGGAACGGAGACACGGUCCAGACUCCUACGGGAGGCAGCAGUGGGGAAUAUUGGACAAUGGGCGAAAGCCUGAUCCAGCCAUGCCGCGUGUGUGAAGAAGGUCUUCGGAUUGUAAAGCACUUUAAGUUGGGAGGCGUUACCAACAGAAUAAGCACCGGCUAACUUCGUGCCAGCAGCCGCGGUAAUAC
rnacentral:rRNA from 1 species